AUGAACGCUGGUGGCGUGCCUUAUGCAUGCAAGUCGAACGAUUCCGAUUUAUCGGGAUAGUGGCGAACGGGUGAGUAACACGUAAGUAACCUGCCCCUAAGUAGGGGACAACUUCGAGAAAUUGAAGCUAAUACCUUAUGUGGUGAUGGGGGUAAAGCUUCAUCACUAAAGCCUUCGGGCGCUUGGGGAGGGGCUUGCGUCUGAUUAGCUAGUUGGUGGGGUAACGGCUCACCAAGGCGACGAUCGGUAGCUGGUCUGAGAGGACGGCCAGCCACACUGGGACUGAGACACGGCCCAGACUCCUACGGGAGGCAGCAGCAAGGAAUAUUGCGCAAUGGGCGAAAGCCUGACGCAGCGACGCCACGUGAGGGAUGAAGGCCUUCGGGUCGUAAACCUCUUUUAUCAGGGAAGAAUAAUGACGGUACCUGAGGAAUAAGUCUCGGCUAACUACGU
rnacentral:rRNA from 1 species